rnacentral:rRNA from 1 species
UUAGUGGCAGACGGGUGAGUAAUGCAUAGGAAUCUACCUGGUAGUAUGGGAUAGCCACUAGAAAUGGUGGGUAAUACUGUAUAAUCCCUGCGGGGGAAAGAUUUAUCGCUAUUAGAUGAGCCUAUGUUAGAUUAGCUAGUUGGUAGGGUAAAGGCCUACCAAGGCAGUGAUCUAUAGCUGGUCUGAGAGGAUGAUCAGCCACACUGGAACUGAGAUACGGUCCAGACUCCUACGGGAGGCAGCAGUGGGGAAUAUUGGACAAUGGGCGCAAGCCUGAUCCAGCUAUGCCGCGUGAGUGAGGAAGGCCUUAGGGUUGUAAAACUCUUUCAGUGGGGAAGAUAAUGACGGUACCCACAGAAGAAGUCCCGGCAAACUCCGUGCCAGCAGCCGCGGUAAUACGGAGGGGGCAAGCGUUGUUCGGAAU